rnacentral:rRNA from 1 species
CGCCGCCCGUCACACCCACGGGAGUUGAUUGCACCAGAAGCAGGUAGCCUGACCGCAAGGAGGGCGCCUACCACGGUGUGGUCAAGUGACGUGGGGUG